CUCGGGUUUGCUUUCCGCAGGUGCAGGCAAAGUGAAUGAAGCCAGGCAUGGCAGCAGGCAAGGUGGUGUGGCUCCUCCAGACGCAUAUUUAUCUCCGUUGGGAUCCUUCUGUGUUCUGUGGAGAGGGGGUGCAUGGUUUGCCUAUGACCUCAUCCUUAAACACAGCUGCCUUUUAUAUUAGCGUUCCUCACGAAUACACACUCAGUUCCUGACAGACAGGAUGACAGACAGGGCUGCUGGCCGGCCGGCGUACACAGCCCAUCUGGAGACUCCACCCCUGAGGACUGCGACAUGGGUUUCCAUCCAAGACAGCCAGCCACAGCUAUAUAAGAGGCUUGAACAGAACGAAACACAGAAAAAUGAUGCCUAAGAGACAAGUUCAGAAGGAAACAAGUAAGAUUCCAGGCGCAACCCAGGACCCAACACAAACAACUGUGCAGGUACAGGCCAGAUGCAGAAACCUGUGUCUUCAACCCCUUGUCUCCUGGGGGACAGUGACAUGGGGAAGAAAAACUACAGUAAAUGCACGUGUGAUUGUCUCCUUCACAUACACAGCAGUGAUCUGAACAAGAAAAGUCAAGUCUCGAAAGCCCCAUGCCUUGCCCGGUCCCCGCCUCCCCUCCAGUACUCUGAAGUAAACUACCCUGCUUCUAUGUACUUUGCCCUUGCCAGGUCAGAUACUGGGUUAGGCUUAUUCCAGAGCAGGCCUUCCAAGGUGUUUCCACUCUCCUAGUUAUUACGUUAAUUGUACAUGUUCAGAGCUACAGUUUGAUAGCUGGAGACAGCCAAUAAUGAUCAAAUCAUAGUAGUAAAAUAUGUACUCCUUAAGCAUUACAUUUCUUUCAAUUAAUGUAAUAAUCCUGAAAAAAAAGAAAAAAAAUGUAAUAAUCCUAUGUGUUUGUAGGGUACAGCGCAAUGUUUCGACGCAUGCAUACGAUGUAUACGAUGUGUACUGACACAGUCAGGGUCAUCAAUGUCUCCAUCCUUGUUGUUACUUUGUGUAUGUGGCAGCACAAUUCACAAGAUGUGUAAU